AGUGAACGCUGGCGGCGUGCCUAACACAUGCAAGUCGUGCGCGAAAGGGAGCAAUCCUGAGUAAAGCGGCGAACGGGUGAGUAACACGUGGUUAACCUGCCUGGAUGUGGGGGAUACCCCGGGGAAACCCGGGACAAUACCGCAUGAUGUCUCUCGGGCGUGAGCCUGGGAGAGCAAAGCCGGGGACCGUAAGGCCUGGCGCAUCCAGAGGGGACCGCGGCCGAUUAGCUAGUUGGCGGGGUAAUGGCCCACCAAGGCGUCGAUCGGUAGCCGGCCUGAGAGGGUGAACGGCCACACCGGAACUGAGACACGGUCCGGACUCCUACGGGAGGCAGCAGUGAGGAAUAUUGGUCAAUGGGCGCAAGCCUGAACCAGCCAUCCCGCGUGCAGGAAGACGGCCCUAUGGGUUGUAAACUGCUUUUCCAGGAGACGAAAAGUGCCGACGUGUCGGCAUGUGACUGUACCUUGGGAAUAAGCAUCGGCUAACUCCGUGCCAGCAGCCGCGGUAAUACGGAGGAUGCAAGCGUUAUCCGGAUUCAUUGGGUUUAAAGGGUGCGUAGGCGGAUUGAUAAGUCAGUGGUGAAAUCCUGCAGCUUAACUGUAGAACUGCCAUUGAUACUGUCAUGUCUUGAGUUUGGUUAAGGUAGGCGGAAUGUGUAAUGUAGCGGUGAAAUGCUUAGAUAUUACACAGAACACCAAUUGCGUAGGCAGCUUACUGGACCGACACUGACGCUGAGGCACGAAAGCGUGGGGAUCGAACAGGAUUAGAUACCCUGGUAGUCCACGCCGUAAACGAUGAUUACUCGCUGUUGGCGAUACACUGUCAGCGGCUAAGCAAAAGCAAUAAGUAAUCCACCUGGGGAGUACGAUCGCAAGAUUGAAACUCAAAGGAAUUGACGGGGGCCCGCACAAGCGGAGGAACAUGUGGUUUAAUUCGAUGAUACGCGAGGAACCUUACCUGGGCUUAAAUGUAGAGUGCAUGAGGUGGAAACACUUCUUUCCUUCGGGACUCUUUGCAAGGUGCUGCAUGGUUGUCGUCAGCUCGUGCCGUGAGGUGUCGGGUUAAGUCCCAUAACGAGCGCAACCCUUAUCGUUAGUUGCCAGCGGGUAAUGCCGGGGACUCUAGCGAAACUGCCACCGUAAGGUGAGAGGAAGGUGGGGAUGACGUCAAAUCAGCACGGCCCUUAUGUCCAGGGCUACACACGUGUUACAAUGGCCGGCACAGAGGGCAGCUACCUGGUGACAGGAUGCUAAUCUCGAAAACCGGUCUCAGUUCGGAUCGAAGUCUGCAACUCGACUUCGUGAAGCUGGAUUCGCUAGUAAUCGCGCAUCAGCCAUGGCGCGGUGAAUACGUUCCCGGGCC
rnacentral:rRNA from 1 species